UGCUUGGCAAGGAGGGGCUGUGCACACCUGGAAGCAGAAACACCAGAGCUGCUGGGAAACAAAGGCAAAGAGAGAAAGCAAAAGGCUGAGAUGAGGGUGAAGCACCAGGAACAGCCCCAUCCUGGCAUGCCAAUCUCUAGCAUCCAGCACCGCCCUGCUCCACAGACCAACAGCAAGCAAAGCCUCUCAGCAGCCAGCAUGGAUGAAAACUGGUCUCAGCAUGGCCCUAAACUGGUCCCAGGAAGCCAAUGUGUUGAAAAUCUGCACCAUUAGCUCCAUUAAAAUGCUUUAAAUGUAAAUCAGAAA